rnacentral:rRNA from 1 species
GAACGAACGCUGGCGGCGCGCCUAAUACAUGCAAGUCGAGCGAGAAGACGUAGCAAUACGUUUGUAAAGCGGCGAACGGGUGAGGAAUACAUGGGUAACCUACCCUCGAGUGGGGAAUAACUAGCCGAAAGGUUAGCUAAUACCGCGUACGCUCCUUGGACUUCGGUUCAGGGAGGAAAGCGAUACCGCGGUAUCGCGCUCUUGGAUGGGCUCAUGUCCUAUCAGCUUGUUGGUGAGGUAACGGCUCACCAAGGCUUCGACGGGUAGCUGGUCUGAGAGGACGAUCAGCCACACUGGCACUGCGACACGGGCCAGACUCCUACGGGAGGCAGCAGUAAGGAAUAUUGCGCAAUGGGCGAAAGCCUGACGCAGCGACGCCGCGUGGGGGAUGAAGGUCUUCGGAUUG